CGUCACCCUUCAUGACGCUAAUGUUUACAGCUAUGCAUUCGGGACUUUCUCGGUUUCUGUUGUCUUUAUUGUCUUUUAUUCCUUUAACGAACUGUCAGAAUGGAGAAUCCCGGGUCAGUGAACGCCCGUUUGCGGUUUGGCAACACCAGAACCUGGCUCUGCUGAUCGGCGUGCUCAGUGUGCUGUUGGUGGUCGUGAUUGUGAUGGCAGUCUGUGUUUACAGACCUCUCCACCGGCGAUAACCAACAGAGCAGAGUGACACAGAAAUGCCACGACAGCCACACCGUAGGGGGUCUGGAUCCCCAGGUUCCACUCCUGCUGUACCCCCACUAACUCACUCCAGCCUCACUAGCUCAAUCCCCAGAACUGCAAGCUAACUCAAUACUCACAAACGCACACCAGAGCCAUUCUCUUCCACCCCGGCCAAGUCACACCAGCCACACAAACCCACUCCUCACUAACUGCAGAGCCUGCCAGCAUGUUCACCCCCUGCUGUGUGUUAAUCAUGUGAGAUUUGUCUGUGUCAUGUCACUGGAUUUCCGAAAGGCACUGCUGAAUUUGGUUUUGGAUGUUAACCUGAUGGUGUCUGAAUCGUUUAACUGUUAGUUAGUUGCCUUUUUUAUUUUAUUUUUUGUAAUUAUGUUGCCAUUCAUGAGACAAACUGGAACUCACAAGAUUUCAAGUAAGAAGGGAACCUUGUGUAAAAUUUUCCUUAUCAAGAUGUAUCUUCAUAGAGUUUAUUUGUUUAAUUUGUAUUGCGGUAUUUUGCGGCAGAUGUACAGUAAUCGUCCACUAUCCACUGUCUCUGCCCAGCUCAAUUGACAAGGUAAUUGAAAUCGCAGCUAAAAAGUUUGUUCGUGUGAGCAGUUAUUCUUUCAGCAUAAUUAACUACCUGCAUUGUACAGACUUACUGUUUAAAUGCAGUAGAACCAGCGAAGUGAACACCCAGUAUUAAAUCAUGAUCUGUCAGGAACAGUUUAUGAUUUCGGUGCAUCUUUAACUCGGUAAAAAGUUCAUAGGCAUCAUCAUUUAUUUAUAUUUAUUUAUUUAUUUAUUUAUUUAUUGGGAGGGGGCUUUUAGGAAAAGUAAAACAGUAUGUUAAAUAUGCCCUAGUGGAUUUUGUAAUUGAUUUUCUUAAUCACGUCUUUUAUUGAGAGCACACAUGGAUACAUUCCACUGGGUUGCAGCCAAGAUAAAUAAACUGGAGAAAUAUCCCUUAGAUAAACUGAUCUCACCCUGCACUGGCCGCAGCAGGGAUAUGUCAGAGUGUGCAGAACCAAGCAAGUUAGUGCAGCUGUGUGAACUGCUCCAGUCGUUCUGUAGCUAAAGCUUCCAGACAGCUAUUAAGAAAGAGAGAAGAAGAUACUGCAUGGAUCACAAACACAGAACCACCGUGGAGUCAGUCUGAGCCCUGCAUUGAUGGAUCUUGGCUGAACUACAGCUGUGCACAAGAGCAAUGUCUGUCUUAACAGUAGAUAACAGCGACCAAGGCGUACAGCGAACCUUAGUUAGCUGCUGUACUUGAAACUUGUCAGGUGAUGUCACCAAAAUGAGGAAAAAAGAUUCUAGGAUCACCACGCCAUUGUGGGUCAUAAAUGGCUGAUGCUGAAAUGUUUGGUUGUAUAAACUCACUAUUGCAGGCCCAGUUUGUCUUGAAAGUUUCCCACAUCAAGCAAAAGGCAGCAUGCUCACACAACACCUAUGGACAGAUGUUUGAAACUGUAAAGUGAUUUUGUGACUUGGAGCUUCAGGUGCUCUGGGGGUAGAUCGGAAUGGUUUCUCGGCAGAGACUACUGGUUGAGUCCCUGGUUUGAAAAAAGCCUGAUGGAUCAGGAUCCUCGUGGACCAUCGUAUGUUUUUUUUUUAUGCAGAAACUAGACCCUGCUUGGUAGCAUUUGUGUUGACACUAAACUACAAAUAAUUAGUAUUGUUUUUAUAUUAUUUUUUUAAUGUUGACGUAUGCACUAGGUGAUAUGGGCAGCAUUGUCCUUAUGAAGAUGCUGUUUUUGGAAAGUGCUGGACAAGGGAGUAUUGCAGCUUCAUUAUUUAUUAGUAGGUACUGUUCGUUAAAGGCUCGCUAUAAAUCUGUUCGGUUUCAUUUGAACGGCACUUUCUUAAAUUUUAAUUUAUAUAUAUAUAAAUAUUUUCUUCUAGGUUUAUUUUGUAAAACCUUUUUAACCUUUUACUUUUUUAAUUGUGACAAAUAUGUGAACCGUCUCGCAUUCCCAAACGGUUAUAAUUCCUGUUAUUUAUUUUAACAUUACAUUUUUUUCUUUCUAUUAUGAGCUGUACUGAAAUAAAUACAAAGUAAAAGCUUCAGUUUGAAUUGCAGUUCUCCUGGCUUCUUGACAUCAAACAAUUUAACCUUAAAAGGAUAUUUGCGUGUCUCUGUGUGUGGUUAAUUAUUCACCCUUACCUAGCACUGCUCCCAAAGAGCCACCAAAAAUCUCAAGCCACCCAAUGAAUACCCAACACUUGAAACUCAUUUUCAGGUCUCAGGAAUGCUGGAAACCAUAAGACAGCUCGGGCCUUUAAAAAGGCAAUCAAAAAAAUGAAAUAAAAAAUCAAGGCCAUUGUUUAGAAACCAGACACCCAUUAGCAGCCAGUUCUGCCAAUAGAUGAGCAAACUGGUUUUUAAUAAAUCAGGCAGGAGCAGAUUCUUAAAGGAACCAAAGUGUCUUCCAAGGAGAGGUAUCUCUCUACUGGAGCAUGUCCAGAUCACAUGUCCCAGGUGUUUGUGUGUGUUCUAGCAUGCAGCUGUGCAGUUUCUACAGCCAGCAUCGUGUCUGUGAAUACAUGUAUGUUUGCGGCUUGAGGAAGCCAGGCUUUGUGGCAGGCUGUGCCGUGUCUGCUUUUUGAAAGAUAGUUGCCUAUAGAUCGCUCAUUAGCUCUGUCAAUUAGUUACCUUUCACCGACGCUAAAUUCACUAAUAAUAUCAGGAAAGAAAAGGAUAAAGAAUCCAGAGCCAUGGAAACAGAGUGCUUGGCUGGCACGCUGUCCGUUAGCUGUGAAUUGAACAAUCUGAAGUACUUUUCUAAACGUGGGUAUUCAAAUUGUUUCCUAUGUUUAGAAGAAGCUUGGUGAAUGUCUUGGUUUGCAGUGAAUACGGAUUUUAAGCUAUAGAAACAAGCAUGCUUGAGUGUUCCAGCACUCAAGGCUACCCAAAAUAAUCCACUCCGUGACCGCUCUCUCGCAGCUUUUGGCCUCUUCUCAGAACUGCAUUCAGAUGUUUUUUUUUGUUUUUUAUAAAUUUAGCACUGUUGUUUAAAAAAAGUAGAAAAACAACUCAUUAAUUACAAAAUAAGUGGUUUAUCCCAAUUAAACAUUUUUAGUAAAAAAUAAAUAGCCAAAUUGUAUGGUGCACUAGAAGACUGGGAAUCAUACUGCCUCUAUCCGGUCUGGGAUAUUGGAGGUUUGAUGAAUUCAUUUAUAAACAGCAGCUAUACAAAAAGCAUCUUACCUACAGGUGUCUUUAGUUGUGCACAUUGGAUUGUGCACUGCAGACAGAGGUGGCACAGCCCUAGUUUAAUAGUGGCACAAGAUGAGAUUGUAUUUUAUAGACUAGUUUCAGGGUGCAUGCAUCAGUGGAAAUUGUCAUUAAGCCCAUACGUUCAAACACUUUGUAUUUCGGUCAUGCAUGUCUACUUCUGAACCUGAAAAGAUAUUUUCUGUAAUCAUUUUUACUCUUGUGCAUUAUUCAUGAAUCCUCCUGUAUAUAUAUAAUCAUAAAAUCAGUACAUAAAAAUGUAAAAUAAUUACAAAUUUUAAAAAGUUCAUAAGGCUGUUCCAGGCACAGGCAGCAUCCUCAAUGCUAGCUUGUUCAGUUUGCCUGAUCUGGUUUAACACAAAGCAUGUUUUUAGUGUUGCGAUAAUAAAAUAAGUUUGUAACUGAAAGACUGAAGUAUUCACCUCAAAGACUGUUUAAAGUAAAAAAGAAGAACGAAGUUUGAGAGGGCUACCGUUCUGCUACAAACACACUUCAAACAUUUCGACACAGAGCUUUAGGCUUCAAACACACUAACAAAUGUCAUUUAAAUGUCCCUGGGGAUUGGAACCUGUCUGUCUAUGCGGGGUUGCAGAUGUCAAAUUAAAGGUACAAUAAAUAAAUAAAAAAAAAUAAAAAUAAAACUCCUGUGCAAAUUCCAUUGCCUUUAAUAUAGAAAUGUCAAAUUAUUUCUAUACCGAUAGUAACAAUUCUUCCUUUUCUUCUUUUUAAAAGGAAAAUACUGUAAAGCUGUAUCUAUUAGCAUGACCAUAUAUUUAUUAGCAUGCCUAAUUUUCUAACCAAGCACAGUAGCUAACCUAGUCAUGUCCUAGCGAGCUGUUUAGACAGGCACCCCAGUGGGUUUCUACUGAUCAACCCUGGUUAAAAUGCCCAUAAAAUUAAAGAUCAAUCUACCAGGCUUAUUUUUAUGUAUUUAUUUUUAAUAGCAGAUGGAGGCACCCACUGUACCUGCCUACAGAUUAUCAAUUACAAAGCAGACUGUGCUUAUAAUAUGCAUUAUAUCAUCAGCAUAAUUGUUCAUUGGUCGUCUCUCUGUUUCGUUCAGGUGUGACGUUCCUGGAGCAGAGGGUCAAAUUCUAGAUAAUCAACAUGGUGUGGCCACCCUAUUUAACACAAUAAUAUAUGAUGUUCCCUACGAUGCCUCUUAUGUAUUUCCUAAGUGGGUGUACUGUGCAUUUAUUGGGAUUUAUGUUAAAAUGUCAUUUAUAGAAUUGGGUGAAGAAUGAAGCAAGUAUAAAAGCCUCCUGUACAUUCCCAUAGAAAAGGUUUAGUUGGGAGUGUCAGAUUUGCCUGUAUCACCAUCACACUGUAUCAAACGCCUCCACAGUUUACAAUUACUGCGAUUCUGAUCCGUUUCUGGAGAGCAGUGACUGCUAAUCACAGGGAACUCAAUUACAGCAGGAAUUAGGGCUAAGGUCUCCCACACAGUACUGGGUUGCAAACAUUCACAGUAAUAUAUCGAUAUGGUUUCCAUACAACUCGGUUUAGUAAUCCUCAAUAAAGUGCAAACCCUAUAGAGCCCAUUGUGACAGAGUGGCAUGCAACAGGAAGAUGCAGCUGUUAUAUAUUCCCCAAUACAAGUCAAGAAUGCCAGGGGCAUACAAAGUAUAAGCAAGAGAGGGACAGGCUAUUUGUACAAAGAUGUUCGCUACAAACUAUGCCUUUACUGUAUAAAAUAGGGCCGUAAGAAAACACUGCCACCUGCUGGUUCAUUUGAACAAGAACGUAACGUAAAUAAGAAAAACUUCUUAGAUUGUUUUUUCAUGUGUUAAUAAAUCACACAAUCAGACAAUAUGAAAAUAGAAUACAUUUAAUUUCUUAAAGACAAUAUCAGUGUGCUUUUAGGAAACAUACUGCCAAGAAAUGUAGAAAAAGGUAGAGAAAAAAUGAAAUAAAGUGCUUUUUUCCCCCCUUUUUUGAAAACAAAGGGUAUUUUGAGGGUAUAACUGGCAUCU